rnacentral:rRNA from 1 species
AGAGUUUGAUCAUGGCUCACGAUGAACGCUGGCGGUAUGCUUAACACAUGCAAGUCGAACGAACCUUCGGGUUAGUGGCGGACGGGUGAGUAACGCGUGAGGAACUACCUUUAGUUCGGGGACAACAGUUGGAAACGACUGCUAAUACCGGAUGAGCCGAGAGGUAAAAGAUUUAUUGACUAAAGAAGUACUCGCGUCUGAUUAGCUAGUUGGUGGGGUAAGAGCCUACCAAGGCAACGAUCAGUAGCUGUUCUGAGAGGAAGAUCAGCCACACUGGGACUGAGACGCGGCCCAGACUCCUACGGGAGGCAGCAGUGGGGAAUUUUCCGCAAUGGGCGAAAGCCUGACGGAGCAAUACCGCGUGUGGGAGGAAGGCCCUUGGGUCGUAAACCACUUUUCUUAGGGAAGAAGACCUGACGGUACCUAAGGAAUAAGCCUCGGCUAACUCCGUGCCAGCAGCCGCGGUAAUACGGAGGAGGCAAGCGUUAUCCGGAAUUAUUGGGCGUAAAGAGUCCGUAGGUUGUUAAUCAAGUCUGCUGUUAAAGACAGAAGCUCAACUUCUGGAGAGCAGUGGAAACUGUUUGACUAGAGAAUGGUAGGGGUAGAGGGAAUUCCCAGUGUAGCGGUGAAAUGCGUAGAGAUUGGGAAGAACAUCGGUGGCGAAAGCGCUCUACUGGGCCAUAACUGACACUGAGGGACGAAAGCUAGGGUAGCGAAAGGGAUUAGAUACCCCUGUAGUCCUAGCCGUAAACGAUGGGUACUAGGCGUAGCUUGUAUCGACCCGAGCUGUGCCGAAGCAAACGCGAUAAGUACCCCGCCUGGGGAGUACGCACGCAAGUGUGAAACUCAAAGGAAUUGACGGGGGCCCGCACAAGCGGUGGAGUAUGUGGUUUAAUUCGAUGCAACGCGAAGAACCUUACCAAGGCUUGACAUCCCGCGAAUCUUUCAGAAAUGAGAGAGUGCCUUAGGGAACGCGGAGACAGGUGGUGCAUGGCUGUCGUCAGCUCGUGUCGUGAGAUGUUGGGUUAAGUCCCGCAACGAGCGCAACCCU